rnacentral:rRNA from 1 species
UUCCAGACUCCUACGGGAGGCAGCAGUGGGGAAUAUUGCACAAUGGGGGAAACCCUGAUGCAGCGACGCCGCGUGAGCGAUGAAGUAUUUCGGUAUGUAAAGCUCUAUCGGCAGGGAAGAAGAUGACGGUACCUGACUAAGAAGCCCCGGCUAACUACGUGCCAGCAGCCGCGGUAAUACGUAGGGGGCAAGCGUUAUCCGGAUUUACUGGGUGUAAAGGGAGCGUAGACGGCGAUGCAAGCCAGAUGUGAAAGCCCGGGGCUCAACCCCGGGACUGCAUUUGGAACUGUGUGGCUGGAGUGUCGGAGAGGCAGGCGGAAUUCCUAGUGUAGCGGUGAAAUGCGUAGAUAUUAGGAGGAACACCAGUGGCGAAGGCGGCCUGCUGGACGAUGACUGACGUUGAGGCUCGAAAGCGUGGGGAGCAAACAGGAUUAGAUACCCCCGUA